UUGACUGAUGCCACACAGACUUUGACAUCUGCAGGGAUGUACAUCGUAACAGGUGUGAAAUGUGCACCUGGAUUCACAGGACCUCCUGUUGCAACAUGCGCCAGCACAGG
rnacentral:sRNA from 1 species